GGUUCCGUAGUGUGGUGGUUAUCACGUUCGCUUCACACGCGAAAGGUCUCCGGUUCGAUCCCGGACGGAACCA